rnacentral:rRNA from 1 species
AUUGAACGCUGGCGGCAGGCCUAACACAUGCAAGUCGAGCGGUAGAGAGGUGCUUGCAUCUCUUGAGAGCGGCGGACGGGUGAGUAAUGCCUAGGAAUCUGCCUAGUGGUGGGGGAUAACGUUCGGAAACGGACGCUAAUACCGCAUACGUCCUACGGGAGAAAGCGGGGGGAUCUUCGGACCUCGCGCCAUUAGAUGAGCCUAGGUCGGAUUAGCUAGUUGGUGAGGUAAUGGCUCACCAAGGCGACGAUCCGUAACUGGUCUGAGAGGAUGAUCAGUCACACUGGAACUGAGACACGGUCCAGACUCCUACGGGAGGCAGCAGUGGGGAAUAUUGGACAAUGGGCGAAAGCCUGAUCCAGCCAUGCCGCGUGUGUGAAGAAGGUCUUCGGAUUGUAAAGCACUUUAAGUUGGGUAGGAAGGGUAGUAACCUAAUACGUUGCUACUUUGACGUUACCGACAGAAUAAGCACCGGCUAACUUCGUGCCAGCACG